rnacentral:rRNA from 1 species
GACGAACGCUGGCGGCGUGCUUAACACAUGCAAGUCGAACGUGAUUUUUGUGGAAAUUCUUUCGGGAAUGGAAAUGAAAUGAAAGUGGCGAACGGGUGAGUAACACGUGAGCAACCUACCUUACACAGGGGGAUAGCCGUUGGAAACGACGAUUAAUACCGCAUGAGACCACAGAAUCGCAUGAUAUAGGGGUCAAAGAUUUAUCGGUGUAAGAAGGGCUCGCGUCUGAUUAGCUAGUUGGAAGGGUAAAGGCCUACCAAGGCGACGAUCAGUAGCCGGUCUGAGAGGAUGAACGGCCACAUUGGAACUGAGACACGGUCCAAACUCCUACGGGAGGCAGCAGUGGGGAAUAUUGCACAAUGGGGGGAACCCUGAUGCAGCGACGCCGCGUGAGCGAAGAAGGUUUUCGAAUCGUAAAGCUCUGUCCUAUGAGAAGAUAAUGACGUAUC